rnacentral:sRNA from 1 species
AUGGACGUAGCGCAGGAUGCGCAAUAAGACAUAAAAGGGACACGUAGGGAUGCCUGCCAGGAAGGUGGGAAGAAAAGGAUGUCAGGGAAACAGUCUGGAAAGCCCCGCUUAUGCGGGGUUUU